rnacentral:rRNA from 1 species
AGCAGCCGCGGUAAUUCCAGCUCCAAUAGCGUAUAUUAAAGUUGUUGCAGUUAAAAAGCUCGUAGUUGAAUUUCGGAGUUUGUCGGUUGGUCGGGCUUCACUGUCCGCACUGGCCUGAUAGAUUCCUACCUUCUGAAUAACCAGCAUGCUAUUAAUUUAGUGCGUUGGGGAAGCAGAGCUAUUACCUUGAAAAAAUUAGAGUGCUUAAAGCAGGCUUAUGCUUGAAUAGAUUAGCAUGGAAUAAUAAAAUAGGACGGCUUGGUUCUAUUUUGUUGGUUUCUAGGAUCACCGUAAUGAUUAAUAGGGAUAGUUGGGGGCAUUCGUAUUCAAUUGUCAGAGGUGAAAUUCUUGGAUUUAUUGAAGACUAACUUCUGCGAAAGCAUUUGCCAAGGAUGUUUUCAUUAAUCAAGAACGAAAGUUAGGGGAUCGAAGACGAUCAGAUACCGUCGUAGUCUUAACCAUAAACUAUGCCGACUAGGGAUCGGACGGUGUUAAUUUUUUAAUGACUCG